AUCCAGCUGAUGAGUCCCAAAUAGAACGAUAAACGUGUUCUAGAU
rnacentral:hammerhead_ribozyme from 1 species